UUAGCAUAUAGUUGAUAUGUACAAGGAACUAGUCACCUAUCCGCUUUCUUGAUUCUUUAGGAUAGUGCUAUGGGAGAAGGUAGUACCUCUUAGCCGGGGCAGGCGUGCAACCUGAUGUGCCCAUCUCAUUUAUUCACUGUCUACUAUUACUCUUGUUCAGAGUACAGUACUUUAAGUUUCCUCACUCCUGUAGAUCAAGAAUGCUCCGACCAAAGUUCCUCAAUGAGGCGAGGGUUGCCUAUUAGACUGGAAGACCAAAGGAAAGCGGAAAAACAAUAAUCAAGCAAGGGAAGAAUCUAUAUACUACUCUCAGGAAUAUGCAAGCCCAAUAUUAAGUAGUAGUAGUUGUUUUUUCACUCUAGAUCGCUUUGAUCGGCUCGCUGCUAUCGCUCGCUCCUUAC
rnacentral:lncRNA from 1 species